UACGUAGGUGGCAAGCGUUAUCCGGAAUUACUGGGCGUAAAGCGUGCGCAGGCGGUUCGUUAAGUCAGAUGUGAAAGCCCCGGGCUCAACCUGGGAACUGCAUUUGAAACUGGCGGGCUUGAGUGUGGCAGAGGGGGGGUGGAAUUCCGCGUGUAGCAGUGAAAUGCGUAGAGAUGCGGCGGAACACCGAUGGCGAAGGCAGCCCCCUGGGCUGAGAUUGACGCUCAGGCACGAAAGCGUGGGGAGCAAACAGG
rnacentral:rRNA from 1 species